rnacentral:rRNA from 1 species
AGUGAACGCUGGCGGUAGGCCUAACACAUGCAAGUCGAACGGCAGCACAGUAAGAGCUUGCUCUUACGGGUGGCGAGUGGCGGACGAGUGAGGAAUACAUCGGAAUCUACUUUUUCGUGGGGGAUAACGUAGGGAAACUUACGCUAAUACCGCAUACGACCUACGGGUGAAAGCAGGGGAUCUUCGGACCUUGCGCAAUUGAAUGAGCCGAUGUCGGAUUAGCUAGUUGGCGGGGUAAAGGCCCACCAAGGCGACGAUCCGUAGCUGGUCUGAGAGGAUGAUCAGCCACACUGGAACUGGGACACGGUCCAGACUCCUACGGGAGGCAGCAGUGGGGAAUAUUGGACAAUGGGCGCAAGCCUGAUCCAGCCAUACCGCGUGGGUGAAGAAGGCCUUCGGGUUGUAAAGCCCUUUUGUUGGGAAAGAAAAGCAGCAGGUUAAUACCCCGCUGUUCUGACGGUACCCAAAGAGUAAGCACCGGCUAACUUCGUG